GCACACUUGGACAGCACAUGUACUAAAAUUGGAAGCAAUACACAGAUUAGCAUGGCCCUUAUGCAAGGUCAACACACAAAUUCAUGAAGCAUUCCAUAUUUUC